GACGAACGCUGGCGACGUGCCUAAUACAUGCAAGUCGAACGCUUCUUUCCUCCCGAGUGCUUGCACUCAAUUGGAAAGAGGAGUGGCGGACGGGUGAGUAACACGUGGGUAACCUACCCAUCAGAGGGGGAUAACACUUGGAAACAGGUGCUAAUACCGCAUAACAGUUUAUGCCGCAUGGCAUAAGAGUGAAAGGCGCUUUCGGGUGUCGUUGAUGGAUGGACCCGCGGUGCAUUAGCUAGUUGGUGAGGUAACGGCUCACCAAGGCCACGAUGCAUAGCCGACCUGAGAGGGUGAUCGGCCACACUGGGACUGAGACACGGCCCAGACUCCUACGGGAGGCAGCAGUAGGGAAUCUUCGGCAAUGGACGAAAGUCUGACCGAGCAACGCCGCGUGAGUGAAGAAGGUUUUCGGAUCGUAAAACUCUGUUGUUAGAGAAGAACAAGGACGUUAGUAACUGAACGUCCCCUGACGGUAUCUAACCAGAAAGCCACGGCUAACUACGUG
rnacentral:rRNA from 1 species